rnacentral:rRNA from 1 species
GACGAACGCUGGCGGCGUGCUUAACACAUGCAAGUCGAACGGAAAGGCCCUGCUUUUGUGGGUUGCUCGAGUGGCGAACGGGUGAGUAACACGUGAGUAACCUGCCCUUGACUUUGGGAUAACUUCAGGAAACUGGGGCUAAUACCGGAUAGGAGCUCCUGCUGCAUGGUGGGGGUUGGAAAGUUUCGGCGGUUGGGGAUGGACUCGCGGCUUAUCAGCUUGUUGGUGGGGUAGUGGCUUACCAAGGCUUUGACGGGUAGCCGGCCUGAGAGGGUGACCGGCCACAUUGGGACUGAGAGACGGCGCAGACUCCUACGGGAGGCAGCAGUGGGGAAUAUUGCACAAUGGGCGGAAGCCUGAUGCAGCAACGCCGCGUGCGGGAUGACGGCCUUCGGGUUGUAAACCGCUUUCGACUGUGACGAAGCGUGAGUGACGGUAAUGGGUAAAGAAGCAACGGCUAACUACGUG